rnacentral:rRNA from 1 species
CGGGUGAGUAAUACAUCGGAACGUGUCCUGUAGUGGGGGAUAGCCCGGCGAAAGCCGGAUUAAUACCGCAUACGAUCUACGGAAGAAAGCGGGGGAUCUUGGGACCUCGCGCUAUAGGGGCGGCCGAUGGCAGAUUAGCUAGUUGGUGGGGUAAAGGCCUACCAAGGCGACGAUCUGUAGCUGGUCUGAGAGGACGACCAGCCACACUGGGACUGAGACACGGCCCAGACUCCUACGGGAGGCAGCAGUGGGGAAUUUUGGACAAUGGGGGAAACCCUGAUCCAGCAAUGCCGCGUGUGUGAAGAAGGCCUUCGGGUUGUAAAGCACUUUUGUCCGGAAAGAAAACUUCCUGGUUAAUACCUGUGGAGGAUGACGGUACCGGAAGAAUAAGCACCGGCUAACUACGUGCCAGCAGCCGCGGUAAUACGUAGGGUGCGAGCGUUAAUCGGAAUUACUGGGCGUAAAGCGUGCGCAGGCGGUUCGUUAAGACAGAUGUGAAAUCCCCGGGCUUAACCUGGGAACUGCAUUUGUGACUGGCGAGCUAGAGUAUGGCAGAGGGGGGUAGAAUUCCACGUGUAGCAGUGAAAUGCGUAGAGAUGUGGAGGAAUACCGAUGGCGAAGGCAGCCCCCUGGGCCAAUACUGACGCUCAUGUACGAAAGCGUGGGGAGCAAACAGGAUUAGAUACCCUGGUAGUCCACGCCCUAAACGAUGUCAACUAGUUGUUGGGGAUUCGUUUCCUUGUAACGUAGCUAACGCGUGAAGUUGACCGCCUGGGGAGUACGGUCGCAAGAUUAAAACUCAAAGGAAUUGACGGGGACCCGCACAAGCGGUGGAUGAUGUGGAUUAAUUCGAUGCAACGCGAAAAACCUUACCUACCCUUGACAUGGUCGGAACCCUGCUGAAAGGUGGGGGUGCUCGAAAGAGAACCGAUACACAGGUGCUGCAUGGCUGUCGUCAGUUCGUGUCGUGAGAUGUUGGGUUAAGUCCCGCAACGAGCGCAACCCUUGUCCUUAGUUGCUACGCAAGAGCACUCGAAGGAGACUGCCGGUGACAAACCGGAGGAAGGUGGGGAUGACGUCAAGUCCUCAUGGCCCUUAUGGGUAGGGCUUCACACGUCAUACAAUGGUCGGAACAGAGGGCUGCCAACCCGUGAGGGGGAGCUAAUCCCAGAAAACCGAUCGUAGUCCGGAUCGUAGUCUGCAACUCGACUGCGUGAAGCUGGAAUCGCUAGUAAUCGCGGAUCAGCGUGCCGCGGUGAAUACGUUCCCGGGUCUUGUACACACCGCCCGUCACACCAUGGGAGUGGGUUUUACCAGAAGUGGCUAGCCUAACCGCAAGGAGGACGGUCACCACGGUAGGAUUCAUGACUGGGGUGAAGUCGUAACAAGGUAGCCGUAUCGGAAGGUGCGGCUGGAUCACCUCCUUUCUCGAGCUCAACGUUUUAAAGUGAGGUGCUAAAGUGCUCACGCUUAUCGGCUGUAAGAAGACAGGCUAAGGGUCUGUAGCUCAGUUGGUUAGAGCGCCGUCUUGAUAAGGCGGGGGGCGUUGGUUCGAAUCCAACCAGACCCACCAUGAUUCGCACGUCAGGGGAUUAAUGAAUGUUAAUCGCCCAAGCGGUGAAAUCUACGGACCCUUCAGCAUCGAAGUACUGGGGGGGGAUUAGCUCAGCUGGGAGAGCACCUGCUUUGCAAGCAGGGGGUCGUCGGUUCGAUCCCGUCAUCCUCCACCAAUCAUCAAUGCACAGCACUCUUAAACGAAUAGUUUAAGUAAAGAGUGAUGCGCAUUGGAGUGAUGCGCAUUGGCGAUUGAGCCAGUCAGUAAGUCGUUUAAGGCAAGGCACUUUAAGUGAUGCUGUCGUUCUUUAACAAUCUGGAAGAAGUAGUAAAGGUCAUUUGAAAGCGCUUAGAGAUGGGCGUGAUUAGGAUGAUUAGGGUUGUGAUUGUAUCAAUGUAUGAAAAGGUGAUCGAAAGAUUGCUUUGGAAUACGGUGCAACACGAAUACUCAACCUAUGGCGUGGCGAAAGAGUUUCCACAGAUGCUGAGCUUCGGUUCGGUGUAGGUGGGAUGCUCGGAGACGCACUCGUUAUAGGGUCAAGCGAACAAGUGCAUGUGGUGGAUGCCUUGGCGAUCACAGGCGAUGAAGGACGCGGUAGCCUGCGAAAAGCGACGGGGAGCUGGCAAACGAGCUUCGAUCCGUCGAUGUCCGAAUGGGGAAACCCGGCCCUUCUGGGUCAUCCUGAGCUGAAUACAUAGGCUCAGUGAAGCGAACGCGGUGAACUGAAACAUCUAAGUAACCGCAGGAAAAGAAAUCAACCGAGAUUCCCAAAGUAGUGGCGAGCGAAAUGGGAUCAGCCUGUACUCUUUAUCACGACCGUUAGCCGAACACUCUGGAAAGUGUGGCCAUAGCAGGUGAUAGCCCUGUAGGCGAAAGCGGAUGUGUGGAACUAGGUGUACGAACAAGUAGGGCGGGACACGUGAAAUCCUGUCUGAAGAUGGGGGGACCAUCCUCCAAGGCUAAAUACUCGUGAUCGACCGAUAGUGAACCAGUACCGUGAGGGAAAGGCGAAAAGAACCCCGGGAGGGGAGUGAAAUAGAUCCUGAAACCGCAUGCAUACAAACAGUCGGAGCCUCGCAAGGGGUGACGGCGUACCUUUUGUAUAAUGGGUCAGCGACUUACGUUCAGUAGCAAGCUUAACUGAUUAAGGCAGGCGUAGCGAAAGCGAGUCCGAAUAGGGCGUUCAGUUGCUGGGCGUAGACCCGAAACCAAGUGAUCUAUCCAUGGCCAGGUUGAAGGUGCGGUAACACGUACUGAAGGACCGAACCCACUAAUGUUGAAAAAUUAGGGGAU